rnacentral:lncRNA from 1 species
UGGGAAUCUACAAGGAAAACCCCUUUCCCCCUCCCCCGAUAAGACCAUUUAAGUGUGUGUUAAGCAACUACAGAAUACUAAAUAAAAAGUUUGGCCAAAACCAACCAUGAAGCUGCAAACGAUGCUUGCUCUUACUGUUUCAAAUUUUUGCAACUCUGUAGUGUCUCACUUUUAAGGAACAGCUUGAUUGCAAAGGAGAAAAUAGAUAAGCAAUGAAGUUAUCUCCAACUUCUCAAAGGCUUAUGACUUCUAAAAUGUGAAUCUAUCAGCAUUCCACAUCAGAUUUAAAGCAUCAAAUGCCUGUGAAACAGCAAAGAUGGUUGAGAAUUUUGGUCAUGAUGGUCAUGGAGUGCUGAUUUAUUCACACUAGAUAAAGCGGGCAGCAAGAGAAAUGCAAUGCUAAGAGUUGUUGAAGCAGAAGAAUGCUGAUUGUCCUUAAGGCACAACAGUUGCAUAAGCAGCCCUCAGCAGAAUUGGUUUGGUGCAGACAGUAGAAUUUUGCCUUUCAGGGGUUCCUGUGGCUCUAAGGAAGGCAUCCGUGUUGGUUAGCACUCUUAACUAGGGAGUGGCAGUUUCUUGAAAUGAGGAAUUGGCCAGGUGGAGGAAGGGGCGCAGUUAAGGAAAGUGGUAAGUGGAGGUAGUC